GAUGAAGAACGUAGCGAAAUGCGAUAAGUAAUGCGAAUUGCAGAAUUCAGUGAGUCAUCGAAUCUUUGAACGCACAUUGCGCCCUGUGGUAUUCCGCAGGGCAUGCCUGUUCGAGCGUCAUUUCAACCCUCAAGCCCCGCUUGGUGUUGGGCCCCGCCCGCCGUGGCCGGCCCUAAAGACAGUGGCGGCGCCGCCUGGCCCUCAGCGUAGUACAGCUCUCGCUCCAGGGUCCGGCGGCCGCCUGCCAGAACCCCCCAAACUCUGUGGUUGACCUCGGAUCAGGUAGGGAUACCCGCUGAACUUAAGCAUAUCAAUAAGCGGAGGA
rnacentral:misc_RNA from 1 species